GAUGAAGAACGUAGCGAAAUGCGAUACGUAAUGUGAAUUGCAGAAUUCAGUGAAUCAUCGAAUCUUUGAACGCAUAUUGCGCUCUUUGGUAUUCCGAAGAGCAUGCUUGUUUGAGUAUCAGUAAACACCUCAACCUCUUCUUGAUUUUUCAAAAGGAGGGUGGACUUGAGCUAUCCCAACAACCUUUACCGGUCGGCGGGCGGCUUGAAGUGCAGGUGCAGCUGGACUUUUAUCUGAGCUAAAAGCAUAUCUAUUUAGUCCUCGUCAAACAGGAUUAUUACUUUUGCUGCAGCUAACAUAAAGGAUAAUUGUCCUCUUUGCUGACUGAUGCAGGAUUUUACGACACUUUAUGUGUUGUUCAACUCGAUCUCAAAUCAAGUAAGACUACCCGCUGAACUUAAGCAUAUCAAUAAGCGGAGGA
rnacentral:misc_RNA from 1 species